AGAGUUUGAUCAUGGCUCAGAACGAACGUUGGCGGCGUGCUUAACACAUGCAAGUCGAACGAGAAAGUUUUCUUCGGAGAACGAGUACAGUGGCGCACGGGUGAGUAACGCGUAAGUAAUCUACCUUGGCAUCUGGAAUAACUACGGGAAGCUGUAGCUAAUACCGGAUACGUUUAUAUAGUUACGACUCUAUACAGAAAGAUGACCUCUUCUUGAAAGUUAUCGUGCUAAGAGGAGCUUGCGUACCAUUAGCUAGUUGGUAGGGUAAAGGCCUACCAAGGCGACGAUGGUUAGCGGGUCUGAGAGGAUGAUCCGCCACACUGGAACUGGAACACGGACCAGACUCCUACGGGAGGCAGCAGUGAGGAAUAUUGCGCAAUGGGGGAAACCCUGACGCAGCGACGCCGCGUGGAUGAUGAAGGCCUUCGGGUCGUAAAAUCCUGUCAGAUGGGAAGAAAUGUAUGUAAGAAUAAUACCCUAUGUGCUUGACGGUCCCAUCAAAG
rnacentral:rRNA from 1 species